GCUAGAGGUUCUUUUCUAGUCUUACUCAAUGGUUUCUGAUAUGCCGUUAAGAGCCUGCAAACGAUAAUUUGGCCUUUUAACGUUUACAGUGUUAAGGACUUUAAGGUAAAAGAGUUUUCCUGGUGAACCAGACAAUGGAAAUCAUUGGGGAUUAACAGCAGGGCUAUGUAAUGAUUCUUGAUAUAGCAAACCUUUCUUUCCUUGUUCACUGAUAAAAAUAUUUUAUCAGUAAAUAAAGCACUCAAUUCAAAUGCUUACAAUUUUAAAUUUUAA
rnacentral:lncRNA from 1 species